UUCUUUCCUUCUACUAACUUUAGGUCUUGUCUGUUCUCUCUCGAGCUGCUUUAGAUAUAAAGUUAGCUUGUUUAUUUUGAGCUUUUUAUUUUUUCCUGAGGUGGGCUUGUAUUGCUAUAAACUUUCCUCUUAGAAUGGCUUUUGCUGCAUCCCAUAGGUUUUGGAGUGUCAUAUAUUCGUUGUCAUUUGCUUCUAGGUAUUUUUAAUUUCCUCUUUGAUUUCUUCAGUGAUCCAUUGGUUGGAUCUAGAGGUGAUGUUUUUGGUAAACAGGCGGGGUUUGUGUUUGCCGAGUUCCUUUUACUUCUUUUAAUCUUUCCUUAGUGGAGAAAGGCUUCUUGUUACUCAUAUUAACAUUAUUGCUUCUAUGUUUCAAUAGAUUAGUCCGAUAUUGGGCUAGGAGUUUGCUAUUAGUUAUUGGAAUUAUAUUGGUGGGUUUGUUGAGCUUUAACGCUUUCUCAAUUGAUGGCUGCUUUUAGGCCUACUAUGGUAGUAUUAAGAUUUUACUCUC
rnacentral:lncRNA from 1 species